GAAGAAGCAUACAUGACAAAAUGUGGCCACAGCCUUUGUUACAAGUGUACUCAUCAGAUUUCAGAGGACAAUAAUAGAUGUCCCAAGCAUAAUUAUGUUGUGGACAGUAUUGACCAUCUCUAUCCUAAUUUCCUGGUGAAUGAACGCAUUAUUAAACAGAAGCAAAGAUUUGAGAAAAAGAGGUUCAAAUUGGACCACUCAGUGAUUAGCACCAAUGGACACAGAUGGUAAAUAUUUCCAUCUCUUUCUUUAGGU
rnacentral:lncRNA from 1 species